GUAUGGGUAGGUUCAGUGUUAGAAUGCUCACUUUUCAUGAGGGAGACCUGGGUUUGAUUCCUGGCCAAUAUA
rnacentral:tRNA from 1 species